GCAGAAUCACAUUGACCGACGGGACGGGCCAAAAGCCCGGAACGGCAGCCAUGCUUCUCCAGCCGAUCCCCACCGCCACCCUCGCCGCUGGACGGAGCUCCGGCGAAGCUCCCUUCCCCUUUCGCCGCCGCUGCCGCCGCCACAUGCUCCUCCCUAUCCGCGCCGACUCGACCCCGAUCUCCCUCUCGGCCUCCGCCCCCUCGCGGCCGGCCAAGCCGGCCGCUUGCACCGCCGACGAGCUCCACUACGCCCCCGUCGACGGCGCCGGCUGGCGACUCGCGCUCUGGCGGUACAGGCCGCCGCGCAAUGCUCCCGUCAGGAAUCAUCCGCUGAUGCUGCUGUCGGGAGUCGGGACCAACGCCGUCGGAUUCGACCUGUCACCCGGGGCUUCGUUUGCCCGUCACAUGUCUAGCCAAGGAUUUGAUACGUGGAUAGUUGAAGUAAGAGGUGCUGGUCUGAGCACGCGUGAAUAUGAUGAUUCUGCUCCAUCUGGCUCAGUCACUUUUGAGGAUGUCUCUGGUGGUAUUCAACCUCUUAAUAAACAGAUUACAUUCGAGGCUACUUCCCUUCAGAGUUCUGGUGGCUAUGCUAGUGAUUGUGAUGACCUUGGAAUAGUUGCUUUGGAUGAACCACCUUUACUUGCUGAACUUUCUAAUUUUUUUGAUCGGAUCGCAAAGCUCAUGGAAGAGGCUGUAGUUAAUGGAAAUUUUCAUGAGAUCACAGAAAAAGUUUCUGUUCUCUCAGAAAUGGUAGAGAGCUCUACCAUUAUUGGUCCAGUGAGAGAAGAAAGUCUACGUCUUUUGAAGAAUUUUCAGGACCAGUUGGAUUCGUGGGAGCGUUUUGUAGCAACACAGAUGAAUCUGACUUCUGAAUAUAAUUGGGACUUUGACCAUUACCUAGAGGAGGAUAUACCUGCUGCGGUAGAGUAUAUUAGACAGCACAGUAAAGCAAAAGAUGGGAAGUUGCUUGCCAUUGGACACUCGAUGGGGGGAAUUUUGUUAUAUGCAAUGCUGUCAAGAUCUGGUUUUGAAGGAGUUUCAUCAAAUUUAGCAGCCAUUGUCACUUUGGCUUCUUCUAUUGACUACACAACAUCCAAUUCAUCACUGAAGCUGUUACUGCCUCUUGCUCAUCCUGCACAAGCUCUUAAUGUCCCUGCUGUUCCAUUGGGUAUGUUGUUGGCAGCAGCAUAUCCGUGGGCAUCUUGUCCACCAUAUCUUUUUUCCUGGCUUAAUCCUCAAAUAUCAGCUCAGGACAUGAUGCAUCCGGAGUUGCUGUCUAAGCUUGUUUCCAACAACUUUUGUACAGUGCCUGCAAAGGUUGUCCUGCAACUUACAACCGCAUUCAGGGAAGGUGGGCUGUGCAACCGAAAUGGAACCUUCUCGUAUAAGGAUCAUUUGCAAGAGUGUCAGACUCCUGUCCUUGCAUUGGCUGGAGAUAAAGACCUAAUAUGCCCUCCCGAGGCUGUUUAUGAAACUGUGAAACUCAUUCCAAAGCACAAGGUGAACUAUAGGGUGUUCGGAAAGCCACAAGGCCCACAUUAUGCACAUUAUGACUUGAUUGGAGGUCGACUGGCGACCGAUGAUGUGUAUCCAUGUAUCAUAGAGUUCCUCUCUCGCCAUGAUGGUUGUUGAUUUGAUUAUAUGAUGCUAACACCGGGUAACUUAACAUGUUCAUCUCAAAGGUUUUAAAGUUGAGCUGAACAAUCUUUUCCACGGUCUUCUCAAUCAAUGGCUAGAAAAUAGGUGAACGCACGAGCUCUCGUGUGUGUUGGAGAAAACAAAUACACGAGCUCAUCUGAUGUAUCCUUGUAACAAGCGUCGGCGGAUACUAUGUUGACAUGCAAGAUGUAUAAAACUGUAGAUUUCUGUGGCAUCAUUCUGGCAGUAAAUAUUAUAAGUUAAGAGAGGAACAUCGAAACAUUGCAUGUGCCUUUGAUUACAGCAGUCUGUCAGAGGCUCAAUAGACUUUAUGGAUGUUCAACAAAGCAUUGUGCUUAGUGUCUGUGCACAUGGUGACUGACUCCACAUAGGCUUUUGUUUCUAGCAGUAUCCUUUUUCUGAAGAAUGAAUGAUGAUGCCCAGCAAGGCAACAAGACAGCAAGAGGUUUGGAAA